GUCACCAAAUCCAAAACAUGGUAUCAGGUUGUCUUCAUCAAAAGGAGACAAGGUUCGCCCAAUUAUAGAGAUGGCUUGCUCGUAUGGGUUGGCUGUGUGACCAACUGAGUGGAGGCUUCUCCUGUUGAAUGAAGACUUCCCUGUCCAUUCAUUGCUUUUGGUGAAAUCAAUUCCAAGAAUCAAGUUUGACGAUUCAAGGCCUGCUUCUCGCAAUGCAGUAACAACCUCAUCCAAAGAUUUAAAGUUAUCAGCUAUGUAAGAGGCUUGCUGGUUCCUUUGAUAGUUUGCUCUAUCUGAACCCCCGGUGUAUGAUGUAACUUGAGCUUGAUAGUUAGAAUCCAUGGAGCUUUCUGCAUAUGUAGUAGGAUGAUAUUGAGGAUUGGAGCCAAUAUGAUUUCUUACACGUUCUGGGCUGUGGUGAUAAUGAUCACUAUGAGCGUCAUUUAAGGCAGACUCUUGAUUCCCCAUUGUGUAAGAAUAUGUUCAAUGUUGUCAAAAGCUCUGCAAAAACACUGUGAUAAGCUGAUAUAGCAGUAAUUUGAAU
rnacentral:misc_RNA from 1 species